AACGUAGGUGGCAAGCGUUAUCCGGAUUUACUGGGCGUAAAGCGUGUGCAGGCGGGGGUACAAGUGGUGUAUGAAGUUUCCCAGCUUAACUGGGAAGGGUUAUGCCAGACUGUACUUCUGGAGUGCGAGAGAGGGGCGUGGAAUUCCGGGUGUAGUGGUGAAAUGCGUAGAGAUCCGGAGGAACCCCAGAGGCGAAGGCGGCGCCCUGGCUCGCAACUGACGCUCAGACACGACAGCAUGGGGAGCGAACGGG
rnacentral:rRNA from 1 species